AAGGGAGGUAACUCCAAAGGAGGGGGUAAGCGCAGUAGUUGGAACAGUGAAACAAAUGCCCGUGCGGUACGUAAUGAGCGUUAACUUCGACCAAACCUACAUGUUCUCGGUGUUUCAUUUAAUGCGCAUACCCCCUUGUAAUACAAACCAAUAACAGCGCUUUGAAACUAUGAUCGUU